UACGAAGGGGGCUAGCGUUGCUCGGAAUUACUGGGCGUAAAGCGCACGUAGGCGGAUCCUUAAGUCGGUGGUGAAAUCCUGAAGCUCAACUUCAGAACUGCCUUCGAUACUGGGGACCUUGAGUUCGGGAGAGGUGAGUGGAACUGCGAGUGUAGCGGUGAAAUGCGCAGAUAUCAGGAGGAACACCAAUUGCGAAGGCAGCUCGCUGGGACGUUACUGACGCUGAGACGCGAAAGCGUGGGGAGCAAACAGG
rnacentral:rRNA from 1 species